CAGCAGGUGGGAAUAUUGCACAAUCGGGCGCAAGCCUGAUGCAGCCAUGCCGCGUGUGUGAAGAAGGCCUUCGGGUUGUAAAGCACUUUCAGUCGUGAGGAAGGUAGUGUAGUUAAUAGCUGCAGUAUUUGACGUUAGCGACAGAAGAAGCACCGGCUAACUCCGUGCCAGCAGCCGCGGUAAUACGGAGGUGCGAGCGUUAAUCGGAAUUACUGGGACGUAAAGCGCAUGCAGGUUGGUUUGUUAAGUCAGAUGUGAAAGCCCCGGGGCUCAACCUCGGAAUAGCAUUUGAAACUGGCAGACUAGAGUACUGUAGAGGGGGUAGAAUUUCAGGUGUAGCGGUGAAAUGCGUAGAGAUCUGAAGGAAUACCGGUGGCGAAGGCGGCCCCCUGGACAGAUACUGACACUCAGAUGCGAAAGCGUGGGGAGCCAAACAGGAUUAGAUACCCUGGUAG
rnacentral:rRNA from 1 species